UACAGAGGGGGCAAGCGUUAUUCGGAAUUAUUGGGCGUAAAGGGCGCGUAGGCGGCUUGGCAAGUGGAAGGUGAAAUCCCUCGGCUUAACCGAGGAACUGCCUUCCAGACUGCUUUGCUUGAGGCCGGGAGAGGCGAGUGGAAUUCCCAGUGUAGCGGUGAAAUGCGUAGAUAUUGGGAGGAACACCAGUGGCGAAGGCGGCUCGCUGGACCGGUUCUGACGCUGAGGCGCGAAAGUGUGGGGAGCGAACAGG
rnacentral:rRNA from 1 species